UGACUUUCCAGCUCGCUAAUAAGGAAUCUUUAGUUUCAUUUCAUGUCUGCAGGAGUGGAUCCGAAGUCUCUUCAAGAUGCUGACAAUUUAGUGGCAGGCCCUGUGCAUUGUCCAAGGGCAGGAAAGGUACUGGCACCUUCCUUGUCUUGGCCAGAAGAGAGAGCAGAGGAACAUAUGCAUGGUCUUGGCAUAGGACAGAUGUGCAGUCUGCAGACAUACAUUCUCUCUGGCGAUCCAAUUUGUCCCCUUUUCCUACAAUUUCUUCCUUUUUUUUUUUUUUUUUUUUUAUUCCCUAAUUAACGCAGGUAAUGAAUUGCAUAUGGCCACGGCAUUUACUUCUCUGUGUGAAAUCUGUAGCAGCUGCAUUGUUUAUCAGUUCAAUAUGCUUACUACAGAUGCCAUUUCUGUGUGACAAUUAAGUUGUUUAAAACCUCUUUUUCCCACCCGCUACGUCCCUCCCCAGCCUUCCCAUCUUCUUUCCAACAAGCAUCAUUGUAACCUGAUUCCUUUCCCAGGCUGAUGCCACACUCCAGCUAAAAGCUCUAUUUGCCGGAGGUCUGAGCCUUGUGUGGUCAUUUAAACUGAUGGAAAGUUCUGAAAUGUUACUGCAUUUGCACCCCCACCAAGACCAAGUUAAACUGACCACCCAAGGUGCAAAUGAUGGAAAAUCAGACUCAGAGCCUUUUGCAUGAGACUAACACGAAUUGAUUUACCUCCUUUCAUUUAACCACGAGUGGAUCCUACAUGUCUUUGGAGAAAUAUUGUGCUCUUCAGACCUUUUCAAGUAUAAUGACAUCUGAAAUGUACAUACUUUACCAGUGCUAUUGAACUGGACUCUGAAAUAAUCUUUGAACCACGUCAAUAUGGCAAAACACACAGAGGGGGCAUGAUUUACUGAGACCAUAAUUAAACAUUGAAUUUGACUCUCCUCUGGGCUCAGCUGAAUUCCCGUCAGCAGCCUCUACAGCAAAUUGUUGCAACCUAAUGUCCUAUGUGUUUGGAUUUUGUUAAUUUAUUUCCUGUACCUCAUUUUCCUGGAACGAGUGCAGUUAUUUAUGGCACAGCAGCAAACACUUUACAUUUAUGGGGGGUUAUGAAUUUCAGUAAUGGGUUUUGUGGCAAUUUAAUCUGUCCCAACUAUGAGGCAUUUUACAAUGACAAUUAAAUUAUUAUUAAAAAAAUAAACCUCAAA
rnacentral:lncRNA from 1 species